GCUGGGCAUGGUGGCUCAUGCCUGUAAUCCCACCACUUUGGGAGGCUGAGGCAGGCGGAUCACCUGAGGUCAGGAGUUCGAGACCAGCCUGACCAACAUGGAGAAACCCUGUCUCUA
ensembl:misc_RNA Metazoa_SRP Metazoan signal recognition particle RNA